rnacentral:rRNA from 1 species
UUUAGUAGACGGAAGCCUCGGUGGAAGAUUACUAAUGAGAGUGGCGAACGGGUGAGUAACGCGUGAGCAACCUGCCUAUGACAGUGGGAUAGCCUCGGGAAACCGGGAUUAAUACCGCAUAAAAUCGUAGAAACACAUGUUUCAACGGUCAAAGAUUUAUCGGUCAUAGAUGGGCUCGCGUCUGAUUAGCUAGUUGGUGAGAUAACAGCCCACCAAGGCGACGAUCAGUAGCCGGUCUGAGAGGAUGAACGGCCACAUUGGAACUGAGACACGGUCCAAACUCCUACGGGAGGCCGCAGUGGGGAAUAUUGCACAAUGGGGGAAACCCUGAUGCAGCGACGCCGCGUGAACGAAGAAGGUAUUCGUAUCGUAAAGUUCUGUCCUAUGGGAAGAUAAUGACAGUACCAUAGAAGAAAGCUCCGGCUAAAUACGUGCCAGCAGCCGCGGUAAUACGUAUGGAGCGAGCGUUGUCCGGAAUUAUUGGGCGUAAAGGGUUCGCAGGCGGCAUGACAAGUCCGAUGUAAAAGGCGAAAGCUCAACUUUCGUAAGCAUCGGAAACUGUCAAGCUUGAGUGAAGGAGAGGCAAGUGGAAUUCCUAGUGUAGCGGUGGAAUGCGUAGAUAUUAGGAGGAAUACCGGUGGCGAAGGCGACUUGCUGGACUUCAACUGACGCUGAGGAACGAAAGCGUGGGUAGCAAACAGGAUUAGAUACCCUGGUAGUCCACGCCGUAAACGAUGAGUGCUAGGUGUCGGUAUAAAUCGGUGCCGCAGUUACACAAUAGCACUCCGCCUGGGGAGUACGUGCG